rfam:Methanosarcina sp. Ant1 MSANT_contig000130, whole genome shotgun sequence.
GUCAAUAACCCAUCACUAAAGUGACGGGCAUGUAAAGUGCCCUUGUUGACCAGAUCACCGAUUGGAGUAAACAAAAUCGGUAAACGAUAUGCAAGAAAUAGUUACCUUCAAAUAUCGCCUCAGUUUGAAGCUCUAAGGAUACAAAUUAAACAAUUAUGAGGGUAAGGAAUAGUGUUUGUAUCGUUAAACCUUGCAAUAUCAGAUCGAGAGGAAGAUGGA